rnacentral:misc_RNA from 1 species
GCUCGUGUCGUUCUCCAGGAAGGGAACGGCAAAGUCAUCAUCAAUUAUCGGGAUGCUAAGGAGUAUCUUCAGGGAAAUCCUUUAUGGCUGCAGUAUGUCAAGACUCCGUUGCUGACCUUGGGGUAUGAAGGCACCUAUGAUGUUUUUGUUAAAGCACAUGGCGGUGGCCUCGCUGGCCAGGCUCAGGCAAUUUCUCUUGGAAUUGCUCGUGCUCUCCUCAAGAUUAGUGAGAACCAUAGGGUACCUCUG